rnacentral:rRNA from 1 species
GAUGAACGCUGGCGGCGUGCCUAAUACAUGCAAGUCGAGCGAACAGACGUGGAGCUUGCUCCUCUGACGUUAGCGGCGGACGGGUGAGUAACACGUGGAUAACCUACCUAUAAGACUGGGAUAACUUCGGGAAACCGGAGCUAAUACCGGAUAAUAUAUUGAACCGCAUGGUUCAAUAGUGAAAGACGGUUUUGCUGUCACUUAUAGAUGGAUCCGCGCUGCAUUAGCUAGUUGGUAAGGUAACGGCUUACCAAGGCGACGAUGCGUAGCCGACCUGAGAGGGUGAUCGGCCACACUGGAACUGAGACACGGUCCAGACUCCUACGGGAGGCAGCAGUAGGGAAUCUUCCGCAAUGGGCGAAAGCUUGACGGAGCAACGCCGCGUGAGUGAUGAAGGUCUUCGGAUCGUAAAACUCUGUUAUUAGGGAAGAACAAAUGUGUAAGUAACUAUGCACGUCUUGACGGUACCUAAUCAGAAAGCCACGGCUAACUACGUG